rnacentral:rRNA from 1 species
GGAGGGUGCGAGCGUUAAUCGGGAAUUACUGGGGCGUAAAGCGCGCGUAGGUGGUUUGUUAAGUCAGCUGUGAAAGCCCUGGGGCUCAGCCUGGGAAUUGCAGUUGAUACUGGCCGACUAGAGUACGAGAGAGGGAGGUAGAAUUCCAUGUGUAGCGGUGAAAUGCGUAGAUAUAUGGAGGAAUACCAGUGGCGAAGGCGGCCUCCUGGCUCGAUACUGACACUGAGGUGCGAAAGCGUGGGUAGCAAACAGGAUUAGAUACCCUGGUAGUCCACGCCGUAAACGAUGUCUACUAGCCGUUGGGAGACUUGAUUUCUUAGUGGCGCAGCUAACGCAAUAAGUAGACCGCCUGGGGAGUACGGCCGCAAGGUUA